rnacentral:rRNA from 1 species
UAAGCCUGUGAAGGUGGCCUGUGAGGGUUGCUGGAGGUAUCAGAAGUGCGAAUGCUGACAUAAGUAACGAUAAAGCGGGUGAAAAGCCCGCUCGCCGGAAGACCAAGGGUUCCUGUCCAACGUUAAUCGGGGCAGGGUGAGUCGACCCCUAAGGCGAGGCCGAAAGGCGUAGUCGAUGGGAAACGGGUUAAUAUUCCCGUACUUGGUGUUACUGCGAAGGGGGGACGGAGAAGGCUAUGUUGGCCGGGCGACGGUUGUCCCGGUUUAAGCGUGUAGGUGUGUGUUCCAGGUAAAUCCGGUUCACUUUAACACUGAGGCGUGAUGACGAGGCACUACGGUGCUGAAGCAACAAAUGCCCUGCUUCCAGGAAAAGCCUCUAAGCAUCAGGUAACAUCAAAUCGUACCCCAAACCGACACAGGUGGUCAGGUAGAGAAUACCAAGGCGCUUGAGAGAACUCGGGUGAAGGAACUAGGCAAAAUGGUGCCGUAACUUCGGGAGAAGGCACGCUGACAUGUAGGUGAAGUGAUUUACUCAUGGAGCUGAAGUCAGUCGAAGAUACCAGCUGGCUGCAACUGUUUAUUAAAAACACAGCACUGUGCAAACACGAAAGUGGACGUAUACGGUGUGACGCCUGCCCGGUGCCGGAAGGUUAAUUGAUGGGGUCAGCGCAAGCGAAGCUCCUGAUCGAAGCCCCGGUAAACGGCGGCCGUAACUAUAACGGUCCUAAGGUAGCGAAAUUCCUUGUCGGGUAAGUUCCGACCUGCACGAAUGGCGUAAUGAUGGCCAGGCUGUCUCCACCCGAGACUCAGUGAAAUUGAACUCGCUGUGAAGAUGCAGUGUACCCGCGGCAAGACGGAAAGACCCCGUGAACCUUUACUAUAGCUUGACACUGAACAUUGAGCCUUGAUGUGUAGGAUAGGUGGGAGGCUUUGAAGCGUGGACGCCAGUCUGCGUGGAGCCGGCCUUGAAAUACCACCCUUUAAUGUUUGAUGUUCUAACGUGGACCCGUGAUCCGGGUUGCGGACAGUGUCUGGUGGGUAGUUUGACUGGGGCGGUCUCCUCCUAAAGAGUAACGGAGGAGCACGAAGGUUGGCUAAUCCUGGUCGGACAUCAGGAGGUUAGUGCAAUGGCAUAAGCCAGCUUGACUGCGAGCGUGACGGCGCGAGCAGGUGCGAAAGCAGGUCAUAGUGAUCCGGUGGUUCUGAAUGGAAGGGCCAUCGCUCAACGGAUAAAAGGUACUCCGGGGAUAACAGGCUGAUACCGCCCAAGAGUUCAUAUCGACGGCGGUGUUUGGCACCUCGAUGUCGGCUCAUCACAUCCUGGGGCUGAAGUAGGUCCCAAGGGUAUGGCUGUUCGCCAUUUAAAGUGGUACGCGAGCUGGGUUUAGAACGUCGUGAGACAGUUCGGUCCCUAUCUGCCGUGGGCGCUGGAGAACUGAGGGGGGCUGCUCCUAGUACGAGAGGACCGGAGUGGACGCAUCACUGGUGUUCGGGUUGUCAUGCCAAUGGCACUGCCCGGUAGCUAAAUGCGGAAGAGAUAAGUGCUGAAAGCAUCUAAGCACGAAACUUGCCCCGA